rnacentral:rRNA from 1 species
UCCUCUAUCAUGCAAGUCGAACGGCGCAUGAUCUAGCUUGCUAGAUUGAUGGCGAGUGGCGAACGGGUGAGUAAUACAUCGGAACGUGCCCUGUAGUGGGGGAUAACUAGUCGAAAGAUUAGCUAAUACCGCAUACGACCUGAGGGUGAAAGUGGGGGACCGCAAGGCCUCAUGCUAUAGGAGCGGCCGAUGUCUGAUUAGCUAGUUGGUGAGGUAAAGGCUCACCAAGGCGACGAUCAGUAGCUGGUCUGAGAGGACGAUCAGCCACACUGGGACUGAGACACGGCCCAGACUCCUACGGGAGGCAGCAGUGGGGAAUUUUGGACAAUGGGCGAAAGCCUGAUCCAGCAAUGCCCGGUGUGUGAAGAAGGCCUUCGGGUUGUAAAGCACUUUUGUCCGGAAAGAAAUGGCUCUGGUUAAUACCUGGGGUCGAUGACGGUACCGGAAGAAUAAGGACCGGUCUAACUACGUGCCAGCAGCCGCGGUAAUACGUAGGGUCCAAGCGUUAAUCGGAAUUACUGGGCGUAAAGCGUGCGCAGGCGGUUGUGCAAGACCGAUGUGAAAUCCCCGAGCUUAACUUGGGAAUUGGAUUGGUGACUGCACGGCUAGAGUGUGUCAGAGGGGGGUAGAAUUCCACGUGUAGCAGUGAAAUGCGUAGAAGAUGUGGAGGAAUACCGAUGGCGAAGGCAGCCCCCUGGGAUAACACUGACGCUCAUGCACGAAAGCGUGGGGAGCAAACAGGAUUAGAUACCCUGGUAGUCCACGCGCUAAACGAUGUCAACUUAGUUUGUUGGGGAUUCAUUUUCUUAGUAACGUAGCUAACGCGUGAAGUUGACCGCCUGGGGAGUACGGUCGCAAGAUUAAAAACUCAAAGGAAUUGACGGGGACCCGCACAAGCGGUGGGAUGGAUGUGGAUUAAUUCGAUGCAACGCGAAAAACCUUACCUACCCUUGACAUGCCACUAACCAAGAAGAGAUGCAUUAGGGUGCUCGAAAGAGAAAGUGGACACAGGUGCUGCAUGGCUGUCGUCAGCUCGUGUC